rnacentral:rRNA from 1 species
UACGUAGGGGGCUAGCGUUGUCCGGAAUCAUUGGGCGUAAAGCGCGCGUAGGCGGCCAGAUAAGUCCGGUGUGAAAGUCACAGGCUCAACCUGUGAAUGCCGCUGGAAACUGUCUGGCUAGAGUCCGGAAGGGGCGAGUGGAAUUCCUGGUGUAGCGGUGAAAUGCGCAGAUAUCAGGAGGAACACCAAUGGCGAAGGCAGCUCGCUGGAACGGUACUGACGCUGAGGUGCGAAAGCGUGGGGAGCAAACAGG